rnacentral:rRNA from 1 species
UCCUACGGGACGCAGCAGUGGGGAAUAUUGCCCAAUGGGGGAAACCCUGAUGCAGCGACGCCGCGUGAAGGAAGAAGUAUUUCGGUAUGUAAACUUCUAUCAGCAGGGAAGAAAGUGACGGUACCUGACUAAGAAGCCCCGGCUAACUACGUGCCAGCAGCCGCGGUAAUACGUAGGGGGCAAGCGUUAUCCGGAUUCACUGGGUGUAAAGGGAGCGUAGACGGCGACGCAAGUCUGGAGUGAAAGCCCGGGGCCCAACCCCGGGACUGCUCUGGAAACUGCGUCGCUGUAGUACGGGAGGGGCA